GGAUGUGAGGGCGAUCUGGCUGCAACAUCCAUCACCCCAUUGAUUGCCAGGGUUGAUUCGGCUGAUCUGGCUGGCUAGGCAGGUGUCCUCUUCCUCCCUCUCUGCUCCAUGUGUGUCCCUCCUGAAGCUGCACACUCUGUCGAAGAGGAUGACCAUCCCCAAUAGAGGAAGACUGGUCUUCAGUCAAGGGUAUAUAAGUAGCUGAGCCCCCCUGCUAGAACCUCCAAACAAGCUCUCAAGGUCCAUUUGUAGCGGAACAUAGGGUAGUCAAGCUUCCAAGGCUCCGGACAUAUUCAAAUGAGGUGCUACCUGUGGUAGUCUGCCUUUAAAA
rfam:Nomascus leucogenys chromosome 13, whole genome shotgun sequence.